rnacentral:rRNA from 1 species
GAUGAACGCUGGCGGCGUGCCUAAUACAUGCGAGUCGAGCGAACAGAUGAGGAGCUUGCUCCUCUGACGUUAGCGGCGGACGGGUGAGUAACACGUGUAUAACCUACCUAUAAGACUGGGAUAACUUCGGGAAACCGGCGCUAAUACCGUAUAAUAUAUUGAACCGCAUGGUUCAAUAGUGAAAUACGGUUUUGCUGUCACUUAUAGAUGGAUCCGCGCCGCAUUAGCUAGUUGGGAAGGUAACGGCUUACCAAGGCAACGAUGCGUAGCCGACCUGAGAGGGUGAUCGGCCACACUGGAACUGAGACACGGUCCAGACUCCUACGGGAGGCAGCAGUAGGGAAUCUUCCGCAAUGGGCGAAAGCCUGACGGAGCAACGCCGCGUGAGUGAUGAAGGUCUUCGGAUCGUAAAACUCUGUUAUUAGGGAAAAACAAAUGUGUAAGUAACUAUGCACGUCUUGACGGUACCUAAUCAGAAAGCCACGGCUAACUACGUG